CAGUAGCCGCGGGAAUACGAAGGGGGCUAGCGUUGCUCGGAAUUACUGGGCGUAAAGGGAGCGUAGGCGGACAUUUAAGUCAGGGGUGAAAUCCCAGAGCUCAACUCUGGAACUGCCUUUGAUACUGGGUGUCUUGAGUGUGAUAGAGGUAUGUGGAACUCCGAGUGUAGAGGUGAAAUUCGUAGAUAUUCGCAGGAACACCAGUGGCGAAGGCGGCUAACUGGUCCAUAACUGACGCUGAGGUGCGAAAGCGUGGGGAGCAAACAGGAUUAGAUACCCCCGUAGUCCCUGUCUCUUAUAC
rnacentral:rRNA from 1 species